rnacentral:rRNA from 1 species
GGACGGGUGAGUAACACGUGGAUAACCUGCCUCAUGCUCUGGGAUAACAGGCCGAAAGGCUUGCUAAUACCGGGUAAGCUCACGCUGCCGCAUGGCAGUGGGAGAAAAGGCGCUUUACGGCGCUGGGAUGAGAGGGGUCCGCGGUCGAUUAGCUAGUUGGCGUGGUAACGGCACACCAAGGCAGCGAUCGAUAGCCGGCCUGAGAGGGCGAUCGGCCACACUGGGACUGAGACACGGCCCAGACUCC